rnacentral:rRNA from 1 species
UGAGUAACACGUAUCCAACCUGCCGUCUACUCUUGGACAGCCUUCUGAAAGGAAGAUUAAUACAAGAUGGCAUCAUGAGUCCACAUGUUCACAUGAUUAAAGGUAUUCCGGUAGACGAUGGGGAUGCGUUCCAUUAGAUAGUGGGCGGGGUAACGGCCCACCUAGUCUUCGAUGGAUAGGGGUUCUGAGAGGAAGGUCCCCCACAUUGGAACUGAGACACGGUCCAA